AAGCAGUGAAGUUUGUUCUCACAGCUUUACUGCAGACCACUAACUGGAGAGGCCCACACUCAUUGCUUCACCACUUCAACAUUGUGAUUUUUCCAACGUUUCCAGCAGUACCAUUAAAUUCAUCGCCAUGGAGAUGCGUUGGUCAGCUCUGACCCUGCUGCUGGUUCUGUGUGUCAUUCCAUACACUGAUGCUCAGACGG